ensembl:lncRNA
AAUCUUCCACUUCCUGUUUGUCAAAGUGGCCUUCUACCUGGACAGGUUUUGUUGGAGCUCAUGCAACAAACAUUUUGGACCAAAGAACUACAGACUCUUCACAACCUGCUCAAACUCUUGGUACAGGACCUCACCACACGGGUCAAGAAGGUUUCCGUCUCAUUUCUACUCUGAAGAUCACCUUCUCCUGCUCAAACUGCUGACAAAUGUUUCUGCUGCUCUAAAGUCUGGUCUCCCAAACUUCCUAAAAACUCUCAAAGUCUCUUCUGCUGCAGGUUGCUUUGUAGAACUGUUCCAGAAAACCUCACUAAACCACGUGGAGGGGCCUCAAGAUAGUCAUCCAAAUGAAACCGUACAAAAACCAAACUAUCACAACCCAAACGCUAAAGUCUCCUGCAGCCUACCAGAGAACCUCUGAGAACAGAGAAUCAGGACAGGAACUCUUACCUUCUGGACAACCAACCGUGGUUCUCAAACAAGAAUACAGAAUGUGUCUGACCAAAAACCUCUGAAGACUCACUACAGCCAAGAUAAAGACACAACUCAGCUGCACCAAAUCCACUAAUCACUGCACACAUUAGCACCAUGUGCUCACUGUGGCUAAAGAACCACAUUUACCAAGACAACUAUCCAGUACAAAGCCCUAAAACACACCAAGAAACACAUUAAAGAUGAUUUUACUGCUGGAAGCUGCAAGCCAACGCCUAAAGAACAACCUAAAGCAACGGAGCCAAACCCAGUUCAGUGGUGAACAGAAGUAGAGGAAAUGUUUGCCUGCAGCUAAAUAAAGCAGGAAGACACUGAGCUGCCCAGGUGUUCCUGAUAACACCAAGCAGCCACCUGGACAGCCAAUAGGAACACAGCUUACUGGAAGUCCAGAGGGCUGGGUUAGUGAAGGAAAUUUAGUUUAAAGUUGAGGCA